GAAGUUUUAAUUAUUUUGUAGAUUAAAAAUCGUAUCUAGAAUAUAAAAAAAAACAUUUAUCGCGUGUGAAAUGCAUGUGCUCAAAUUAGUCCGCAUGGAAUUGUAGUCUUUUGUAUCCUUUGUGACAGAUUUGUUUUUGUACAAUUUUAAUUUUACUGAUACCCAGAGUGUAUCACCAGCCCAGUAGUCCGCACUUCUGUGUUGACCUUAGUUAUCAUCAAUAUGUUCAUAAUUUAAAUUAACUGUUAACGAAUCUUUGAAUUUUUGAAAUACUUAGGCUUUUCUACCUCACCAAUAGAUAACCUUAGCUGUAUUUUGCAAAACUUUUAGGACUAUUUGGUCCUCAAUGCUCUUCAACUUCGUACAUUAUUUGGCCUUUUUAAUAUUUUUUUAUUCGAUCGUCACUAAUGAGUCUUUUGUAGACGAAACGCGCGUCUGGCGCAAAUAUAAAAUUUCCAUCCUGGUAUCUAUGAUGAGUUUAUUUUAUCUACA
rnacentral:lncRNA from 1 species